GAUGAACGCUGGCGGCGUGCCUAAUACAUGCAAGUCGAGCGAACGGACGAGAAGCUUGCUUCUCUGAUGUUAGCGGCGGACGGGUGAGUAACACGUGGAUAACCUACCUAUAAGACUGGGAUAACUUCGGGAAACCGGAGCUAAUACCGGAUAAUAUUUUGAACCGCAUGGUUCAAAAGUGAAAGACGGUCUUGCUGUCUCUUAUAGAUGGAUCCGCGCUGCAUUAGAUAGUUGGUAAGGUAACGGCUUACCAAGGCAACGAUGCAUAGCCGACGUGAGAGGGUGAUCGGCCACACUGGAACUUAGACACGGUCCAGACUACUACGGGAGGCAGCAGUAGGGAAUCUUCAGCAAUGGGCGAAAGCCUGACGGAGCAACGGCGCGUGAGUGAUGAAGGUCUUCGGAUCGUAAAACUCUGUUAUUAGGGAAGAACAUAUGUGUACGUAACUGUGCACAUCUUGACGGUACCUAAUCAGAAAGCCACGGCUAACUACGUG
rnacentral:rRNA from 1 species